AAAAAAGAGGUAUUUUAUACCUCUUGUAUUUAAAACCCAACUCUUUAAAAAUAUAUUUUUUUUUAAAAAAAAA
rnacentral:misc_RNA from 1 species